rnacentral:rRNA from 1 species
AGACGGAGGGGGCUAGCGUUGUUCGGAAUUACUGGGCGUAAAGCGCGCGUAGGCGGAUUGAUCAGUCAGAGGUGAAAUCCCAGGGCUCAACCCUGGAACUGCCUUUGAUACUGUUAGUCUUGAGUUAGAGAGGGGUGAGUGGAAUUCCGAGUGUAGAGGUGAAAUUCGUAGAUAUUCGGAGGAACACCAGUGGCGAAGGCGGCUCACUGGCUCGAUACUGACGCUGAGGUGCGAAAGCGUGGGGAGCAAACAGGAUUAGAAACCCCAGUAGUCC